GAAAGACAGUGACGUUAGGAAGGGCGCAAAAAUAAGAUGUAACGUGAAGUGACUGCUCUUGGAUUGUGAUAUUCUGUUGUGUGAACAAUAAGCAGGAUACAGGUUUGCAAAUUUGGCUUCAGUUCAGUGAGGAAUUAGGAUACAACAGGAGAAGCAGGUAACCUCUCUAU
rnacentral:lncRNA from 12 species